GAUGCAGACGUGAAGACAAAUAGGUGUGCUACCAUUUCCAGCUCCAAUCGUCCUCUCCAGUUUCGAGUAUGACGGGAGAAGCAGAUGGAGCGAGUUGAGUUGUCCCCAUGCGGCGGCGGUGGGUCACGAUGUUGGACUGCGAGCUCACAUCUGGAUGAUUUGCAGGGGUGAGGGACACAUGUUUUUCUGUGCUUCUCCAAACCCAUGGAAAUGGUGACAACCAUUAUGAGGAAAUCCAUGUCUUCUAGCCUUCGGUUCUGCCCCAGCGGACUCCUAAGUUAAUGAAGGAUGGACCAGAGCUCGCCUGAAAUCUCUGCUCAUCGCUCUGUGUUGUUGCUGCUGCAGGUGCUUUCUACUAAGUUAUCCAGAAGAUUUAGGACGGUGUUGGUCAAAUAAGGUUAGGAUAAUGUGGGUUCUGAUUGCUUGUCAACAAUGUGAGAGUGACCGCCACCAUGAUUUAUAUGAGCUUUGGUUGAGCCUAACACAGGGGGAGGAAGAAUUAGAGGGAAGGAGGGACCCCAAACCCUGCAUCAAAAGUCUCCAACAAUUCCCACUCCGAGCUCCGCGAGAGACAUGACGCAUGUGGGGGAUGUCAGACCCAAGCCCGGCACACACACAGCUUUCUCAGUCUCCAGUUGCCAUUGCGAGCUCAACACUGCGAGUACAAUGAUCUCCAAACAAAUGGAUAGAGGGUGCAAGAACCUUUUGACUUCAGGCGAGAGUGUGCAGGAAGGAAGAACAGAUGUUAGCAUCAAGAAGAAGCUACAAAAUGGUAUCAGACCAAAAACAGUGGCUGGCGCAGGUGUGAUGUCACGCGAGCAUUCUUGCACACCAAGUGUAUGUUGUUUGGCCCCUUUGCCGAUCUAUAAAGCCAUUGUUAGCAUCAGAACGUGAAUCCAGAGAUUGAGCACUCCUGCUCUGACACCACAAUAACUUAAGACUGUGCUGGUCACACGUUCCACCAUGGGAGAGCUUGUUGGAUCAGGAUGUUGCUGCAGGCCAACUCAGACGUGGGUGAGAGACGAACAGACGAGGGCGAGGAGCCAUGCUUUCUCUUAGGUUGGCUGGAUCGGAUACCAAGAUCUUGAGGUGGGUGAGAGGGUGUGUUCCCUCGGCCAAGUUCCCCAAGUUUGACCGCUCGCAUCACAUGGGCGACGCUGCGGUGCUGUGUGUACUAGUAGUAUUUAUUGUAGACGAGAACCUUGACGCUAUAGACCAACUCGGUCAUCUUUGAACGGUGAAUCUUAUAUUUUAUAUAAAAGUAAGUUGGUAAUUGUAAAUAGAUAAAACAUCUAAUGGGAGUGGGAUUUG